GUGAGCUAUGCAAAAAAGUUGAGAAUAUAAAAGUUGAGACUUCUUUUACUAUACAGAGAGACUUUAUUGAACUGGGGAAUUUACGUGUUCCAAACAAUGCCGACUGGAUAGCCAAUAGGCAGCCUUCUUAAUCUCCAUUCGUUACAGUACAUACAAUAGUAAAAAGUGACAGGCUUGGAUAAAUGCUGUAAAGGACUGUAAAGGAAUGUAAAAUUCGUCCAGCUACAAUACAGGCAAUUGGUUAUAAUUUUCAUGAGCUUAGUAUUAAUAAGUCUACCAUUCAACGAACAGAAAGUCGGAAGAAAUGGGAAUAAAAGACGAUUUCAACAAUAUGCCAGAAAUUUUCAAACUUCAUUGAGAUGGAAAGCUUUUCCCAGUUCUAGAUGGUUGAAGCUGUAAGGAGAAACGUCUUCCAAUUGUAAUCACAUUUGAAAAUACAGAAGAACUCAUUGUUUUGCCACAACUGAAAAAUUCGACAAGAAAUGAACAAGAACGGGCUGUUUGGAAUUUAAUUCGAAAAUGGAAUCUUGAAGAUUGUGUCAAAAAAAUAUCGACAUCACAUCUAUGAGCUUGUACUGAAAAGAUAUUCCUCUUUUUGCAGAUUUCCUCUGAUUGCAGUUUUCAAGCGAAACUGGAAAUAAUUAAGCAAGAGGCAACUUUCGGGAGGGAUAAUAAUAACUCUCCAUAGCGUUCCUAGGUGGCGAUAUUUGAUGAGAACGAAAAUUAGGCAUACUGGGGCGAUGCAUAAAGCUCGUUGGAUGACAGCAGCAAUUUCCACCUUAAAAAUUGCAAUUAAAAACUCUCAGCUCAAGUUUACUAAACAAAAAAAAAAAACAAAAAAAAACGCAUCUGUCUACGACCUGUAAUUUUUUCACAAUAUCUGCCUAAGUAAAUCCUAAGCUUCAAAGUUCCUCGGCUGUGAAAGCACCGUAUUUAUGCUUUUUAAAAUAUUGAUGAAGCUAUGUAUAUUUAAAGCAGCUCUAAAGAAAUUUUUGUCAUAAUUUGUACAUGUAAAAGAAUGGUGAUGCAUUUGACAGAAAACAAUAGAUCCAGUUUAGAACAACGAUAUGUACCAUCGAUGGAAGAUCUUAACGUUGCAAAUUUUAAUAAGUAAUAUUAAAGCCUUUUAGUAUUAACUCAAA
rnacentral:sRNA from 15 species